CAAGAAACGAGGCCGCGUGCGCUCGCCCGCCCGGCCCCGCUCCUUACCUUGCCUAUUGCGCCGUUUGUUGCUUCCUGGCGGCGGACUGCCCGCCGCCAGGGACGUUGAUACAAUCCUGUAUAGAAGCAUUGAAGCUCUGAGAAAACGCGAAAUCGUA
rnacentral:misc_RNA from 1 species